CUUCUCUGAUGUUAGCGGCGGACGGGUGAGUAACACGUGGGUAACCUACCUAUAAGACUGGGAUAACUCCGGGAAACCGGGGCUAAUACCGGAUAAUAUUUUGAACCGCAUGGUUCAAUAGUGAAAGACGGUUUCGGCUGUCACUUAUAGAUGGACCCGCGCCGUAUUAGCUAGUUGGUAAGGUAACGGCUUACCAAGGCGACGAUACGUAGCCGACCUGAGAGGGUGAUCGGCCACACUGGAACUGAGACACGGUCCAGACUCCUACGGGAGGCAGCAGGG
rnacentral:rRNA from 1 species